rnacentral:lncRNA from 1 species
ACCUCUGAACUCUGCUCAUUAAACUAUCUCCUCUGGGACUUCUUACUUUCCCCUAAGAAGCUUCAAAGUAUUGCUGUUUUCUUUAUAUCAGGCUUCUUCAUCUCUUCCUCUCUUCCUCUGAAUAGUGGGGCUUCUGUUAAUGGAAGUAUUACUACAUGGUGAAUAAAGAGUGCAUAUGUGGCUAAAAGCCAGGGUUAUGGCAAGAUGUCAGACCUUCAAUCGUAACAAUUAGGUGUCAGGAAAAAAAGGCAAAACAAAGUUUUUAAAUUUUUGAAGUGCAUAUAGUGUUUUAUUUACACUUUUCCUCUUCUGACAAACUGUAUAGGAGCAGACCUGAGAUACUGACACAAGCCUGGAGUAGCUAAAGAGACAGGUCUGCUGCAAGCACAGACAAAUGUAUUCCAGUGGGAGAGACGGCCCAUACAUGUGUCGUCUGGGAUCAUCCUGCCCACAGUGAACCAGGACUUGUGGAGAGGAAAUCUCUUUGGGCCGGGAAUGCGUUAACUGUUUGGCGUUGGCUCUUCCAUGAAGGACUGGGUGCAUUUUCCCACAAAGAUAUUGCCUCAGAAGUGCCAUCUUCACUGUAAAACCACUCAGAUUUCCAAGCAGGAGCAGCACCAUUGAUACCACUGAUGUCCUUAAGACCCUGAGGUCUGAGGACAGACCACUGAGUGGAGAGGUUAAAUGAAGGACUGGAGAACUGGAGUUACCACCCAAAAGAUGAGACCAAAAUAAACUCAUAAAUAAAGUUACCUCAUCUCUUACCAUGGAGGCAUCUGGAAUUCAGCAACGGAGUGGAGCUGGAAGACUUGAGUGGUGGACUCCUGCAGCUGUGCCAGGGCAAGGCAGUUGUGAUCCUGACACAGAGAGACUUGCGGAUGGGCGGUGGAGAGUCCCCUCCUUCUGUUGGGGUCCUGGCUGCCAGAGACCAGAGACGCCACAGAAUUGA